GGUCUAUUAGUCUAGUUGGUUAGGACGUCGGAUUCUGAUGAUUGGAAUUUCCGUAGGCCCAGGUUCGAAUCCUGGAUGGACCU
rnacentral:tRNA from 1 species